AACGAACGCUGGCGGCAUGCCUAACACAUGCAAGUCGAACGAAGGCUUCGGCCUUAGUGGCGCACGGGUGAGUAACGCGUGGGAAACUGCCUAUUGGUGGGGAAUAACGACGGGAAACUGUCGCUAAUACCGCAUAAGCCCUUCGGGGGAAAGAUUUAUCGCCGAUAGAUGUGCCCGCGUCCGAUUAGCUAGUUGGUGAGGUAAUGGCACACCAAGGCGACGAUCGGUAGCUGGUCUGAGAGGAUGAUCAGCCACACUGGGACGGAGACACGGCCCAGACUCCUACGGGAGGCAGCAGUGGGGAAUAUUGGACAAUGGGCGACAGCCUGAUCCAGCAAUGCCGCGUGAGUGAUGAAGGCCUUAGGGUUGUAAAGCUCUUUCGGGUGGGACGAUGAUGACGGUACCACCAGAAGAAGCCCCGGCUAACUUCGUGCCAGCAGCCGCCGUAA
rnacentral:rRNA from 1 species